ensembl:lncRNA
GAGAGAGAGAGAGAGAGAGAGAGAGAGAGAGCGCGAGAGAGAGAGCGCGAGAGAGAGAGAGAGGGUUUAAAACCUCAUGUGUGUUCCAUCUCAAGGCUAAAUAGAUCUUGGAUAUUUAUGAGACUUAAAGAGACUUUGCAUUAAAAAGACAGCACCUAUUUCUGUGUUGUGCCGUUUUCCUUGUCCUCCAGAAGGCUUAAAGUCUAGUCCUUGGGGUGAGGGGGUGUCUUAUAUAGUACACUGUGUGGGUCUCUGAAGGCCUUUGGGACUGUAACUGAGUUGAGGGCUUUACUAAUAGCCUUUACUCAACUUGACUUGUGUCACCUCUCCAUCUUCACACCUGUUUUUAUCGCCAUGGAAUUUUCUCUCCACCAGGUAACAGGGCGGCAACAGAAAAGUGCAUUGGUCUGAACUCUGCCAGCGACGCCCCGCCAGCCAGAGAACGCCUCGGCCCAGGGGCCAGUGACCAGGACCAAGAGGAUCCUGGUGAACUUAGCGAUGCGGCUACCUAUGAAAACCUGAGGGCCCCUCCCAGAUGUGCUGGGGACACUGCAGACACGGGCGUCCAUUUUAUCACCGUCCACCAACUGUCAAAAUGACAAACGUCUGGACAACACGUGAUGAAGCAGGGGGAAUAGGGUCGGAGCUAUUGGUUGUUGUUGUGUUCAGAUGCAUUAUAACCGACUGAACAAACUUUGUUUCCCUUGGUCCUUAAACAAUCAUUGUUAGAGCCAUUUUUGGUUUGAUAUGAUGUUUGAUUUAUUAAUUAAUAAUAUACAAGAUGGUUUGGGAUUGGUUAUUUGAGUUAAAUGUUUGUUUUAUCUGUUUUCAUUUAGUAAAAAACAUAUUUUGCAUUUGACAUGUUGGGGACGCCGUAUUUGGAUGAACGAAGCGCACCUGUGGGUAUUUAGGAGAAGAGCCACAGGUGAAUAGGCAGACGGGAAGCGGUACAGUUUUUAAACCGCUCAGUGACAGCUCUUUUGUUAUAUGUGAAAAAGGUUUACGUUGAUCCUCAUGUUUGCUUUUUGCUUUCGGUUAAAUAAAUACCACGGAGCCAAGACGGACGAUCCGUUGACUGACGGUGCAGUGGGCACGAGGCGUACAUGCCCACUGCACCGUCAGUCAACGGACGUGGGAAGGCGUGGCUGACGGAUGGGGGAGUAGUCUUUGCAGAGGCAUCCGUCAGCCAAUCAAAUCGCUUCGCCGGGUUCUUCCCGCUUCUUCCUGCUUGUUGCGAGGCAAGAUGACCCGCUUUCCCGCUUUCCAGUAUCGUCAGAGCCCGAGUCGCGUCACAGUACUUAAAUUUGCAUACGCGAUCUGAUUGGAUGACGGAUCCGUCGCUGCCGAAAAAGUUGAACAUUUUUUAACUUUUUGACGGAGCCGAAGGCUCCAACGGAUCGGACGGAUCCACAAUGCAUUGCGCGUCCGUCCCCAUUCAAAGUCAAUGGGGAUCAGUCAACGGACGGAGGUAGUGGGCACGAGGCGUAAGAUGUAUGCAAUCAAUGCUGAGUGCGGCUUAACCCUCUCCUUAACGUGUGAUUCUUAACGGAGCGGGUUACCACACCGUAUUAAAAGGAAGUUUACAGUGUUUUAAUGUGUUUAAAGUGAGGGGGUGUGAAUCUGAG